GAUGAACGCUGGCGGCGUGCCUAAUACAUGCAAGUCGAGCGAACAGACGAGGAGCUUGCUCCUCUGACGUUAGCGGCGGACGGGUGAGUAACACGUGGAUAACCUACCUAUAAGACUGGGAUAACUUCGGGAAACCGGAGCUAAUACCGGAUAAUAUAUUGAACCGCAUGGUUCAAUAGUGAAAGACGGUUUUGCUGUCACUUAUAGAUGGAUCCGCGCCGCAUUAGCUAGUUGGUAAGGUAACGGCUUACCAAGGCAACGAUGCGUAGCCGACCUGAGAGGGUGAUCGGCCACACUGGAACUGGGACACGGUCCAGGCUCCUACGGGAGGCAGCAGUAGGGAAUCUUCCGCAAUGGGCGGAAGCUUGACGGAGCGACGCCGCGUGAGUGAUGAAGGUCUUCGGAUCGUAAAACUCUGUUAUUAGGGAAGAACAAAUGUGUAAGUAACUAUGCACGUCUUGACGGUAACUAAUCAGAAAGCCACGGCUAACUACGUG
rnacentral:rRNA from 1 species